rnacentral:rRNA from 1 species
UACGUAGGUGGCAAGCGUUGUCCGGAUUUAUUGGGCGUAAAGGGUACGCAGGCGGUUUAAUAAGUCGAAUGUUAAAGAUCGGGGCUCAACCCCGUAAAGCAUUGGAAACUGAUAAACUUGAGUAGUGGAGAGGAAAGUGGAAUUCCUAGUGUAGUGGUGAAAUACGUAGAUAUUAGGAGGAAUACCAGUAGCGAAGGCGACUUUCUGGCCAUAAACUGACGCUGAGGUACGAAAGCGUGGGUAGCAAACAGG